GUACUUACUCCUACGGGAGGCAGCAGUGGGGAAUUUUGGACAAUGGACGCAAGUCUGAUCCAGCCAUUCCGCGUGCAGGAUGAAGGCCCUCGGGUUGUAAACUGCUUUUGUACGGAACGAAAAGGUUUCCAUUAAUACUGGGAGCUCAUGACGGUACCGUAAGAAUAAGCACCGGCUAACUACGUGCCAGCAGCCGCGGUAAUACGUAGGGUGCAAGCGUUAAUCGGAAUUACUGGGCGUAAAGCGUGCGCAGGCGGUUAUGUAAGACAGAGGUGAAAUCCCCGGGCUCAACCUGGGAACUGCCUUUGUGACUGCAUAGCUAGAGUACGGUAGAGGGGGAUGGAAUUCCGCGUGUAGCAGUGAAAUGCGUAGAUAUGCGGAGGAACACCGAUGGCGAAGGCAAUCCCCUGGACCUGUACUGACGCUCAUGCACGAAAGCGUGGGGAGCAAACAGGAUUAGAUACCCCUGUAGUCCAGGCAU
rnacentral:rRNA from 1 species